AGCUGAAUGGCGCAGUGGAAGCGCGCCGGGCUCAUAACCCGGAGGACGCACGACCGAAACGUGCUUCAGCUA
rnacentral:tRNA from 1 species